CCUACGGGAGGCAGCAGUGGAGAAUAUUAGACAAUGGGCGCAAGCCUGAUCCAGCCAUGCCGCGUGAGUGAUGAAGGCCCUAGGGUUGUAAAGCUCUUUUGUGCGGGAAGAUAAUGACGGUACCGCAAGAAUAAGCCCCGGCUAACUUCGUGCCAGCAGCCGCGGUAAU
rnacentral:rRNA from 1 species